CAGAAUAAUCGAUAAGACAAGCCAAAGUCAAGGGUCAGAGAAAGCAGGAUAAACGGUGAGACAAGCCAAGAUUCGUUAACCAGACAAUCAAACAGAAUACACGCGCUAUUGGGCUAUCAGAAGACCACAACAGGGCAACAAGAAACGGAAGAGGGAGAUUUAAAUAUGAUUAGGAGGCUUCUGAUUGGCUAACUUUCCAUUGGAAUUAAUUAUGACACGUGGAAGGUAUUUGGGCCUUCCACUUUUGAUGCAUCAUAUUUGCCCGCUGAGUCAUUUGACUGACUCGGGCGCCUAUUGAAGCACGCUGCACAUGAGCGCGCAGCAUCAGAAAUGUAGCCGGAGGAAUUUGCAAAUCACCACAAGCAGUGAGCAGGUAUGAG